UGCCCCUGUAAACAUCCUUGACUGGAAGCUGUGCAGGCUCAAAGAGGCUUUCAGUCGGAUGUUUACAGCGGCAGGC
ensembl:miRNA